rnacentral:tRNA from 1 species
GGGCGGAUAGCUCAGCGGGAGAGCGCCGGCCUUACAAGCCGGGGGUCACAGGUUCAAACCCUGUUCCGCCCACCA